CAUUACCAAAGGACUUUAAAGUGGGCAAGGUGGUUCCAUUAUUUAAGUCUGGCGACGUACAUUCACCUUUAAAUUACAGGCCAAUUUCUCUAACAAGUGUGCCAUGCAAAAUUCUAGAGCAUAUAAUACACUCUAAUCUCAUCAAAUUCCUAGAAACAAAUUCAUUUUUUUCAUCUCGUCAGCAUGGGCUCCGUAAAUCGUUUUCCUAGGAUACUCAAGUUAUUUCAUUUACACAUGACAUCUGUGCCGCGUUGGAUAAUAGAUUUCACAUUGACAGCAUCUUCUUAGACUUUUCUAAAGCAUUUGAUCUCGUCUCUCACCAAUUACUUUGUCUAAAAUUAAAUACACUUAACAUUGACCGUAACAUUAUCUCAUGGAUCGAACACUUCUUAUCCAAUAGAACACGAUUUGUCUCAGCUAGCAAUUUUGACUCUUCCCGUUGUCCUGUCAGUUCCGGGGUGCCGCAAGGUUCCGUUCUCGGACCGUUGCUUUUUCUCAUUUAUAUUGAUGAUUUGCCUAACUCUGUAGCGUCCUCCAUAAGGUUAUUUGCAGACGAUUGUAUCAUUUACAGAGUAAUAUAAUCAAAUUCUGACACUCUAAAAGUACAAUCUGAUCUAGACAAGGUAACUAACUGGUGCGACACUUGGAAAAUGCGACUUAACAGCCAAAAGUGCAAACUAAUGAGGAUUUCCCGCAAUACUGCUUCGUCUAACAUAUCCAACUAUCACUUGAAGAACUCCGUACUCGAAGAAGUCAGUUCCUAUAAAAACUUGGGCGUCCACAUAACAUCUAAUUUUUCCUGGCACACACGCAUAAACCACAUCACUAACAAUGCUAGCCGUACGCUUGGUUACCUCCGUCGCAAUUUCUCUAUGGCACCCGCUAACUUAAAGCUACUUCUAUACAAAACACUAAUACGUCCUACGUUUAAAUAUGCCUCUUCUCUAUGGGACCCUGGCUUGGAUUACUUAACAAAUGCAAUAAAAUCUAGACACAAUCGUAGCGCGCGUUUCAUUCUUACUAACUAUUCUCGGACAUCAAGCGUAACAUCUAUGAAGGCUACUUUAAACCUCCCUCUCCUCUCAUCCCGUAGGAAGUUAGCACGCUUAUCACUGCUGCACAAAAUUUAUUAUUACAAUCCGGAAUUAAAAAGUGAACUUUUGUCCGAACCUGCAUAUAUAUUAUCUCGUACUGACCAUCGGCAUAAAUUGAGCGUUCCACACUGUUGCACGAACGUAUAUUUUUAUUCAUUUAUUCCUAAUACUACCAAUGAAUGGAAUCAUCUGCCGGCCUCAAUUGUUGACAUAACCUAUACAUCUGCUUUUAGAACUUUUUAGAACUACUAUUGAAGAAUACUUUUGUUAAUCCGCAUUUUCUAAUUUUUUUCUUGUUAUUAUUAUACUCUGUUAUCUGCACAUGCUCUGUAUUUUGUUCCACUCCCUUCUGUAACGCCUUCGGGCCUUGAAGCUACUAUAAAUAAAUAAAUAAAUAAAUAAAUAAAUAAAUAAAUAAAUAAAUAAAUAAAUAAAUAAAAUGUUCAGUACGUUUGCAGACUAGAUUUCUUCCGCAAGAAUAGCAAAUGGGCAGAUUCAAGUGAGGAGCACUAAUCGAAUAGCAGAGGUUAUUCGACCAACAUUCGAAAUUCGCACUACUGAGGCCCCCUAAAAUAAAAUGGCCCAGAACGACAUCGAUGAAGGUACCCACCAUUACACUUCCUGCACAUUUCCUUCAACUCCACUUGCAUCCCACAUUGUUAUUCGAACGUCUUGUUAAAUGUACCAGCUCUUUGACUUCUUUCCCUAAAACAAUUAGAUAUUUUAAAUGCCGGUUAUCCAUUCGUCAGGUAUUUACACUCGUCAGACGUUGUGGCACGUACUUUCAUAUGCAUUUGUAUGUCAUAAUUUUUACAGGACUAUCACACUUAUGUAUCUAUCACUUUGUUCAUGACGCGCCUACGUUAGACCAAAUUUAUGAAAUGUUGUUGCCAAUAUUCUAUCAAAACAGUUCUCUAUAUUUACAUUCCGUGAGUAGGGCGCAAGUAACCUACAUUGUUCAUUGUACACAACCAGCCUCGUGUCCUUUGGAAGACGCGUACGCUGAUAGAUAUAUACAGUCAGAUGCCUCAACAGCGAACGCCUCUAUAACAAAAUGAUCUGUAUACCAAAGGUUGAAAAUGGUCCUGGCUGAAUUUCCAUCUUCCAUAUACGUUGUAAACCCCUUUAGCAUGAUGAUCACUACAAUAGACUUAUAUAUAAGAGGAACUAAUUUCCUUGUCACCGAUGGCGUAAUUGUUCUUUGACAAAGAACGUCAUGUAGCGUUGCCACCAGUCAACUGCACUCGGCACUCUUAUCACAAAAGGGAGAGACAAUGAAGGCUUUCCAGAACGUGUCGAUAACAGCGUCUAUUAAGUCCAGCUGCACCGUUUCAGGAAAGGUUGAAAUUCUACUAGGACUUGUUGUAGCACAGCAGUGGGUGCCACGAAUGGCGAAUACGUUGCAGUAGAUGAAAGUAUCUUGUCGUAAUUGUAACUGACGACUGAUGGUCUCAUCGAUGCAAUCUAGGGCAAAAUGAAUGGGAAUGUCAACAGAAGGUAAAGUUAUCAAGAGCCUGUGAACAAACCUAGAAUUUCGACGGCAAGGGAGGUGAUAGCGGCUGUCGACUACCUGUAGCUUUAUCUUGCGUAGCUCCUACGUUUUGUCAUGGAGCACUGCCUGAACCCGAGGCGAAAUAAGGCCGGCUGUAGUCACACUUUCCAUCAUACGAAAGGUGCACAAAACUAUUACCCACUUAAAGGACUAAUUCUUUUUUGAAUUCAUUUCAAGAAAGAAAGAAAUAAACCAGAGCGAGGUUUGUCCUAUUCAACAUAAUUGGAUUACUGUAUUGUGAUUAGAGCGGAGCGCCCCCCCUAAACGAAGUGAUCUUGUUAAGUUCAAUUUCGGAUAUCACAGACACUUCAUUUUAAAUACGUUCGACUCUAUACAGGAUCCACAUUUGCUUCAUAGACCAAGUUCUGCUACUGACUACUUCUCUCAGGGAUACCAUUAUCAUUUUGGAAUCCCAUGCAUUUCUGUGCCUAAGGGCCGCUAAAUAUUUGAGUAUUUAUCAAGAUAUUUACCAAGGUUUGCUUUUUCAGUGUUCUUACAGCGAGACACUAAAAACAUAGUGGUAACGCCUACUCUGUAACGCUUACUUGCAUUGAAGGUAACGAAAUAAAUAAAUAAAUAAAUAAAUAAAUAAAUAAAUAAAUAAAUAAAUAAAUAAAUAAAUAAAUACCUGAGGGAAAUUUAUUCACAGAUGCUUCCUUUCUCUUUCAGGUUAUACGUCGAAUGUUGUCAGCAACACGCUCAACAGUCCCAAAGCAAACACAGCGUGUUUAGUAUGGAGAUUACUUAAAGCGAAUGAAGAAGAUAGAGCUCGGUGCAGGGCCACCUUCGCAAAAGUUUGUGGCCAGUACGGAAGAUAUAAAUUCGUAUUCACCAAAGACGUAUGCCUGAUGAAACAAUCUAUAAAUCAAACGUUGCCGGCCACAAAGCAAAUGAAUUGAAUAAAACUUUUUUUCCACCAGUG